CAUAAGCGGAGGAAAAGAAACCAACAGGGAUUGCCCUAGUAACGGCGAGUGAAGCGGCAACAGCUCAAAUUUGAAAUCUGGCUUCGGCCCGAGUUGUAAUUUGCAGAGGAUGUUUCUGGCGCGGUGCCUUCCGAGUUCCCUGGAACGGGACGCCAUAGAGGGUGAGAGCCCCGUAUGGUUGGAUACCAAGCCUGUGUGAAACUCCUUCGACGAGUCGAGUAGUUUGGGAAUGCUGCUCAAAAUGGGAGGUAAAUCUCUUCUAAAGCUAAAUAUUGGCCAGAGACCGAUAGCGCACAAGUAGAGUGAUCGAAAGAUGAAAAGCACCUUGAAAAGGGGGUUAAACAGUACGUGAAAUUGUUGAAAGGGAAGCGCUCAUGACCAGACUUGUGCUGGGCAGCUCAUCCGGGGUUCUCCCCGGUGCAUUCUGCCCAGUUCAGGCCAGCAUCGAUUUUUGCUGGGGGAUAAGAACGGUAGGAACGUGGCCCUCCUUCGGGAGGGUGUUAUAGCCUACCGUACGAUACCCUAGCGGAGAUCGAGGUUCGCGCAUCUGCAAGGAUGCUGGCGUAAUGGUCAUCAGCGACCCGUCUUGAAACACGGACCAAGGAGUCGUCCAUUAGAGCGAGCGUUUGGGUGUAAAACCCGCACGCGUAAUGAAAGUGAAAUUAGGUGAGAGCUUCGGCGCAUCAUCGACCGAUCCUGAUGUUCUCGGAUGGAUUUGAGUAAGAGUUUUAACGGACGGACCCGAAAGACAGUGAACUAUGCUUGUAUAGGGUGAAGCCAGAGGAAACUCUGGUGGAGGCUCGCAGCGGUUCUGACGUGCAAAUCGAUCGUCAAAUAUGAGCAUGGGGGCGAAAGACUAAUCGAACUGUCUAGUAGUGGUA
rnacentral:rRNA from 1 species